GAUGAACGCUGGCGGCGUGCCUAAUACAUGCAAGUCGAGCGAACGGACGAGAAGCUUGCUUCUCUGAUGUUAGCGGCGGACGGGUGAGUAACACGUGGAUAACCUACCUAUAAGACUGGGAUAACUUCGGGAAACCGGAGCUAAUACCGGAUAAUAUUUUGAAUCGCAUGGUUCAAAAGUGAAAGACGGUCUUGCUGUCACUUAUAGAUGGAUCCGCGCUGCAUUAGCUAGUUGGUAAGGUAACGGCUUACCAAGGCAACGAUGCAUAGCCGACCUGAGAGCGUGAGCGGCCACACGGGAACUUAGACACGGUCCAGACUCCUACGGGAGGCAGCAGUAGGGAAUCUGCCGCAAUGGGCGAAAGCCUGACGGAGCAACGCCGCGUGAGUGAUGAAGGUCUUCGGAUCGUAAAACUCUGUUAUUAGGGAAGAACAUAUGUGUAAGUAACUGUGCACAUCUUGACGGUACCUAAUCAGAAAGCCACGGCUAACUACGUG
rnacentral:rRNA from 1 species